rnacentral:snRNA from 8 species
AUAUAUUUUAUAAAAAAAAAAAAAAAAAAAAUCUGUUCUUAUCAGUUUAAUAUCUGAUACGUCCCCCAUCGGGGGACUACAUAUUAAAUGGAUUUUUCGAACAGGGAGUCGGAAAUGGGGCUUGCUCCGUCCGCUCCACGCAUCGACCCGGUAUUGCAGUACCUCCGGGAACGGUGCAACACUU